rnacentral:misc_RNA from 1 species
GAAAUGCGAUAAGUAAUGUGAAUUGCAGAAUUCAGUGAAUCAUCGAAUCUUUGAAUGCACCUUGCGCUCCUUGGUAUUCCUUGGAGCAUGCUUGUUUGAGUAUCAUGAAAUCUUCAAAGUAAAUCUUUUGUUAACUCAAUUGGUUUCUACUUUGGUAUUGGAGGUCUUUGCAGCUUCACACCUGCUCCUCUUUGUUCAUUAGCUGGAUCUCAGUGUUAUGCUUGGUUCCACUCGGCGUGAUAAGUUAUCUAUCGCUGAGGACACUGUAAAAGGUGGCCAAGGUAAAUGCAGAUGAACCGCUUCUAAUAGUCCAUUGACUUGGACAAUACUUUUAUGAUCUGAUCUCAAAUCAGGUAGGACUACCCGCUGAACUUAAGC